rnacentral:rRNA from 1 species
CCUACGGGAGGCAGCAGUGGGGGAUAUUGCACAAUGGGGGGAACCCUGAUGCAGCGACGCCGCGUGAGCGAUGAAGUAUUUCGGUAUGUAAAGCUCUAUCAGCAGGGAAGAAAAUGACGGUACCUGACUAAGAAGCCCCGGCUAACUACGUGCCAGCAGCCGCGGUAAUACGUAGGGGGCAAGCGUUAUCCGGAUUUACUGGGUGUAAAGGGAGCGUAGACGGCAGUGCAAGUCUGAAGUGAAAGGCAAGGGCUCAACCCUUGGACUGCUUUGGAAACUGUGCUGCUGGAGUGUCGGAGAGGCAAGUGGAAUUCCUAGUGUAGCGGUGAAAUGCGUAGAUAUUAGGAGGAACACCAGUGGCGAAGGCGGCUUGCUGGACGAUGACUGACGUUGAGGCUCGAAAGCGUGGGGAGCAAACAGGAUUAGAUACCCCAGUAG